UACGGGGGGGGGCAAGCGUUUGUUCGGAAUUACUGGGCGUAAAGCGCGUGUAGGCGGCCAUCUAAGUCGGGCGUGAAAUCCCACGGCUCAACCGUGGAAGUGCACUCGAAACUGGAUGGCUAGAGUCCUGGAGAGGAAGGUGGAAUGCUUGGUGUAGAGGUGAAAUUCGUAGAUAUCAAGCGGAACACCGGUGGCGAAGGCGGCUCUCUGGGACGGUACUGACGCUGAGACGCGAAAGCGUGGGGAGCGAACAGG
rnacentral:rRNA from 1 species